AUCAACUUUCGAUGGUAGGAUAGAGGCCUACCAUGGUGGUAACGGGUAACGGGGUGUUAGGGCACGACACCGGAGAGGGAGCCUGAGAAACGGCUACCACAUCCAAGGAUGGCAGCAGGCGCGCAAAUUAUCCAAUCCCGACACGGGGAGGUAGUGACAAUAAAUAACAGUACGGGGUUCUUUCGGAUCUCGUAAUUGGAAUGAGUACAAUUUAAAUCUCUUAACGAGGAACAAUUGGAGGGCAAGUCUGGUGCCAGCAGCCGCGGUAAUUCCAGCUCCAAUAGCGUAUAUUAAAGUUGUUGCAGUUAAAAAGCUCGUAGUUGAAUUUCGGGAUCAGUUGGUCGGUCGUGCCUCGGUACGUACUGGUCAAAUUGAUUCCUACCUUCUGACGAACCACGAUGUCAUUAAUUUGGUGUCGCGGGAAAUCAGGACUGUUACUUUGAAAAAAUUAGAGUGUUUAAAGCAGGCUCGCGCUUGAAUACAUUAGCAUGGAAUAAUGAAAUAGGACGUUUGAUUCUAUUUUGUUGGUUUCUAGGAUCGACGUAAUGAUUAAUAGGGAUAGUUGGGGGCAUUAGUAUUCAAUUGUCAGAGGUGAAAUUCUUGGAUUUAUUGAAGACUAACUACUGCGAAAGCAUUUGCCAAGGAUGUUUUCAUUAAUCAAGAACGAAAGUUAGGGGAUCGAAGACGAUCAGAUACCGUCGUAGUCUUAACCAUAAACUAUGCCGACUGGGGAUCGGAUGAUGUUAAUUUUUUAAUGACUCAUUCGGCGCCUUACGGGAAACCAAAGUGUUUGGGUUC
rnacentral:rRNA from 1 species